rnacentral:rRNA from 1 species
UACGGAGGGUGCGAGCGUUGUUCGGAAUUACUGGGCGUAAAGCGCGUGUAGGCGGCCUUCUAAGUCUGGUGUGAAAGCCCGGGGCUCAACCCCGGAAGUGCAUUGGACUACUGGGAGGCUGGAGUACCGGAGAGGAGGUGGAAUUCCUGGUGUAGCGGUGAAUGACGUAGAUAUCAGGAGGAACACCGGUGGCGAAGGCGGCCCUCUGGACGGAUACUGACGCUGAGACGCGAAAGCGUGGGAGCAAACAGG